UACGAAGGGGGCUAGCGUUGCUCGGAAUCACUGGGCGUAAAGGGUGCGUAGGCGGGUCUUUAAGUCAGGGGUGAAAUCCUGGAGCUCAACUCCAGAACUGCCUUUGAUACUGAGGAUCUUGAGUUCGGGAGAGGUGAGUGGAACUGCGAGUGUAGAGGUGAAAUUCGUAGAUAUCCGCAAGAACACCAGUGGCGAAGGCGGCUCACUGGCCCGAUACUGACGCUGAGGCACGAAAGCGUGGGGAGCAAACAGG
rnacentral:rRNA from 1 species